rnacentral:rRNA from 1 species
CGGCGGACGGGUGAGUAACGCGUGGGUAACCUGCCUCAUGCAGGGGGAUAACAGUUGGAAACGGCUGCUAAUACCGCAUAAGCGCACAGUACCGCAUGGUACCGUGUGAAAAACUCCGGUGGUAUGAGAUGGACCCGCGUCUGAUUAGCUAGUUGGUGGGGUAACGGCCUACCAAGGCGACGAUCAGUAGCCGACCUGAGAGGGUGACCGGCCACAUUGGGACUGAGACACGGCCCAA